ensembl:misc_RNA Metazoa_SRP Metazoan signal recognition particle RNA
GCUGGGCAUGGUGGUGCAUGCCUGUAGUCCCAGCUACUCAGGAGGCUGAGGCAGGAGGAUCUCUUGAGGCCAGGAGUUUGAGGCUGCAGUGAGCUAUGAUUAUACCACUGCACUGCAGCCUGAAUGACAGAGUGAGACCCUGUCUCUA